rnacentral:rRNA from 1 species
CACGUAGGGGGCAAGCGUUGUCCGGAUUUAUUGGGCGUAAAGAGCUCGUAGGCGGCUCAGUAAGUCAGGUGUGAAACCUCCAGGCUCAACCUGGAGACGCCACCUGAUACUGCUGUGGCUAGAGUCCGGUAGGGGAGCGUGGAAUUCCUGGUGUAGCGGUGAAAUGCGCAGAUAUCAGGAGGAACACCGGUGGCGAAGGCGGUUCUCUGGGCAUGUCCUGACGCUGAGGAGCGAAAGUGUGGGGAGCGAACAGG